UUAGCUUAUAUAUAUAUAUAUAUAUAUAUAUAUAUAUAUAUAUAUUCUCUUACAAGGCCGAAUUUAUGGAAUUUUACAUGCACCCAUGCUAUUAAACUUAAUUUUGGAAGAAAUUAGAGUGCUUGAAGCCUGCUUCACCUCUACCGCGGGUAGGCCCGGUAUUGCACUUUCUCCAGGAUCGGCCCAAGCAUC